rnacentral:rRNA from 1 species
GACGAACGCUGGCGGCGCGCCUAACACAUGCAAGUCGAACGGAGAUCAUUUGGCAGAAGUUUUCGGAUGGACACCGAGUGAUCUUAGUGGCGAACGGGUGAGUAACGCGUGAGCAAUCUGCCUCAGAGUGGGGGACAACAGUUGGAAACGACUGCUAAUACCGCAUAAGCCCACAGCACCGCAUGGUGCAGGGGGAAAAGAUUUAUUGCUUUGAGAUGAGCUCGCGUCCAAUUAGCUGGUUGGUGAGGUAACGGCCCACCAAGGCGACGAUUGGUAGCCGGACUGAGAGGUUGAACGGCCACAUUGGGACUGAGAUACGGCCCAGACUCCUACGGGAGGCAGCAGUGGGGAAUAUUGCACAAUGGGGGGAACCCUGAUGCAGCGACGCCGCGUGGAGGAAGAAGGUCUUCGGAUUGUAAACUCCUGUUGUUAGGGACGAUAAUGACGGUACCUAACAAGGAAGCACCGGCUAACUACGUG